rnacentral:misc_RNA from 1 species
GAUGAAGAACGUAGCGAAAUGCGAUAAGUAGUGUGAAUUGCAGAAUUCAGUGAAUCAUCGAAUCUUUGAACGCACAUUGCGCCUCCUGGUAUUCCGGGAGGCAUGCCUGUUCGAGCGUCAUUAAAAUCACUCAAGCUUAGGUUUACCUAUUGCUUGGUCUUGGAGAUGGAAGCCAAUUCAUUGGAAUCCUCUUCGAAAUCCAAUGGCGAAGACCCUUGCUCUCCCAAGUUUAGUAAUAACUUAUGUCACUGAAGGAAGCGAGAAAUCUUCCGCCGUAACCCCCAUAUUUUCUAUGAUUGACCUCGGAUCAGGUAGGGAUACCCGCUGAACUUAAGCAUAUCAAUAAGCGGAGGA